GGCGAAAUAGCUCAGUUGGGAGAGAGCGUUAAACUAAAGAUCUAAAGCGUCCCUGGUUCGAUCCCGGGUUUCGCGCA